rnacentral:lncRNA from 10 species
AUAAACAAGUGAACAAAGGUCUCUGGUUUUCCUAGGCAGAGGACCCUGCAGCCUUCCGCAGUGUUUGUGUCCCUGGGUACUUGAGAUUAGGGAGUGGCGAUGACUCUUAACGAGCAUGCUGCCUUCAAGCAUCUGUUUAACAAAGCACAUCUUGCACCACCCUUAAUCCAUUUAACCCUGAGUGGACACAGCACAUGUUUCAGAGAGCACAGGGUUGGGGGUAAGGUCACAGAUCAACAGGAUCCCAAGGCAGAAGAAUUUUUCUUAGUACCGAACAAAAUGAAAAGUCUCCCAUGUCUACCUCUUUCUACACAGACACGGCAACCAUCCGAUUUCUCAAUCUUUUCCCCACCUUUCCCCCCUUUCUAUUCCACAAAACCGCCAUUGUCAUCAUGGCCCGUUCUCAAUGAGCUGUUGGGUACACCUCCCAGAUGGGGUGGUGGCCUGGCAGAGGGGCUCCUCACUUCCCAGUAGGGGCGGCCGGGCAGAGGCACCCCUCACCUCCCGGACGGGGCGGCUGGCCGGGUGGGGGGCUGACCCCCCCACCUCCCUCCCGGAUGGGGCGGCUGGCCAGGGCGGGGGCUGACUCCCCCACCUCCCUCCCAGACGGGGCGGCUGGCCUGGCGGGGGCUGACCCCCACCUCCCUCCCAGACGGGGUGGCUGCCGGGCGGAGGCGCUCCUCACUUCUCAGACAGGGCAGCUGCCGGGCGGAGGGGCUCCUCACUUCUCAGACAGGGUGGUUGCCAGGCGGAGGGUAUCCUCACUUCUCAGACGGGGCGGCUGGGCAGAGACACU